CCAGCUGGUCAUGCAGGAGAAAGUCGAGCUUGCUUAAGCACUCAAUCAUCUCGAUCAUGUACAGUACAUGAUCGAUGAUUGACGCUCCUUCCCUCAUUCAAGUGUUGAAGAUGGCACAACUAGUCUUAUACCUCUCAACAUCGUUGGAUGUGCCAAAAGAUUUGUUUAACAUUUGCAACAUAUUCUGUGGCUGAGCAUUCUCGAAACGAUGGC
rnacentral:lncRNA from 1 species